GUGAUGGAUUUGAUUCGUAUUGGUAUGUGACUGUCUUACAAAUAUAUACAUAAGUCGCUUUUCCGCUACCGAGAAAUAUAUAUGUAUAUACCUAUAUUUUUAUAAUUAGAUAAGCUUGCGUUUGACCACUAUUUCACCUGAUGUUAAGUGAGAAUGUGGUCUAGGAUGGAGCACGCUUACCUAGAAGUACCCUAUCCACUAGCGACUUAAAGAUCCCCAGAUUGGGAUACUUGCCAGCUGAAAUACCUCCAGAGCAACCUCCUGUCUCAGCUCCACAGCCACCUCCACCUCCACCUCCACCACAAAAUCAAUCACCGAAAACUUGAUCUUACUGACACAAACACGAAGAUGUACAUUUAACACCAAUUGCAAAAGAAGUAUUGGAGAAAAAUAUACCUCAAGAAUUUUUUAAUUUUGAUCGAAAUUAUGUAAACAACUCGCUGAGAUCGAACAAGAACUAAAUUGUAAUCAUUUGUCUUUCAUUUAAUAUUUUCAUUCAUUCUCAAUUUUUCAUGCACCAUCGACUGAAAGAAACAAACUAGUUAAGGCUGAAUUUUUAAC
rnacentral:misc_RNA from 1 species